CCUACGGGAGGCGGCAGUGGGGAAUAUUGGACAAUGGGGGAAACCCUGAUCCAGCGACGCCGCGUGAGUGAAGAAGCAUUUCGGUACGUAAAGCCCUAUCAGCAGGAAAGAAAAUGACGGUACCUGACCAAGAAGCCCCGGCUAACUACGUGCCAGCAGCCGCGGUAAUACGUAGGGGGCAAGCGUUAUCCGGAUUUACUGGGUGUAAAGGGAGCGCAGACGGCAGUGCAAGUCUGGAGUGAAAUGCCGGGGCCCAACCCCGGGACUGCUCUGGAAACUGUGUAGCUGGAGUGCAGGAGGGGUAGGCGGAAUUCCUGGUGUAGCGGUGAAAUGCGUAGAUAUCAGGAGGAACACCGGCGGCGAAGGCGGCCUGCUGGACUGUAACUGACGUUGAGGCUCGAAGGCGUGGGGAGCAAACAGGAUUAGAUACCCUUGUAGUC
rnacentral:rRNA from 1 species